AUUGAACGCUGGCGGAAUGCUUUACACAUGCAAGUCGAACGGCAGCACGGGUGCUUGCACCUGGUGGCGAGUGGCGAACGGGUGAGUAAUGCGUCGGAACGUACCGAGUAAUGGGGGAUAACGCACCGAAAGGUGUGCUAAUACCGCAUACGCCCUGAGGGGGAAAGUGGGGGAUCGCAAGACCUCACGUUAUUCGAGCGGCCGACGUCUGAUUAGCUAGUUGGUGGGGUAAAGGCCUACCAAGGCGACGAUCAGUAGCGGGUCUGAGAGGAUGAUCCGCCACACUGGGACUGAGACACGGCCCAGACCCCCUCUACCGGGAGGCAG
rnacentral:rRNA from 1 species